rnacentral:rRNA from 1 species
AACAGGGAUUGCCUCAGUAGCGGCGAGUGAGCGGCAAAAGCUCAAAUUUGAAAUCUGGCGUCUUUGGCGUCCGAGUUGUAAUUUGAAGAAGGUAUCUUUGGGCCCGGCUCUUGUCUAUGUUCCUUGGAACAGGACGUCACAGAGGGUGAGAAUCCCGUGCGAUGAGAUGACCCGGGUCUGUGUAAAGUUCCUUCGACGAGUCGAGUUGUUUGGGAAUGCAGCUCUAAGUGGGUGGUAAAUUCCAUCUAAAGCUAAAUAUUGGCGAGAGACCGAUAGCGAACAAGUACAGUGAUGGAAAGAUGAAAAGAACUUUGAAAAGAGAGUGAAAAAGUACGUGAAAUUGUUGAAAGGGAAGGGCUUGAGAUCAGACUUGGUAUUUUGCAUGCUGCUCUCUCGGGGGCGGCCGCUGCGGUUUACCGGGCCAGCAUCGGUUUGGAGCGGCAGGAUAAUGGCGGAGGAAUGUGGCACGGCUUCUGCUGUGUGUUAUAGCCUCUGACGAUACUGCCAGCCUAGACCGAGGACUGCGGUUUUUACCUAGGAUGUUGGCAUAAUGAUCUUAAGUCGC